rnacentral:lncRNA from 1 species
UAUUAACUAGAAUUUCUCAUUCAACCAUAAAACACAAAACUUCAUACGAAGCUUUACAUUUAAAAAUCAAUGACAAUGAGUCAUAAUUUUUUUACAAAAUCUAAAUUAUCAAAUUUAGAGCUACAUAAUAUUCACUAGUUAAAAAAGAACAUUAUCUUCUAUUAACAGUCUAAAGAUACUAAAAUGAUACAAGUGCUUCAAGCAUUUUCUAUUAGUUCAAGAAUCAAGUUUGCACAACGUUGUCGGACAUUCAUCAUUUCUUCAUCUUCGAAUGGUUUUGAUUUUCCAAAUAUCUGAAUUAUAAACAUUGAAAUAACAAAGUUAUCUAAAUCAUGUGACCAUAAAAAUCAUAAGUAGUUAAUUAAUACUAACUUUGAAAAAAUCUAUCACAUAUCCGCAUCCAUGAAUCAACAAGACCACUAGAUACAAUGUUCAACAUAUGUAUUAUAAUGUAGUAACUACACUCAUAACCUUUAGGUUGUCUU